rnacentral:lncRNA from 1 species
UCGCGAGGGUCUUGUCUUGAAGGUCUUGUAGAUGGGCCGCACCAGCCCGUUGAUGGAGCCACGCCGUGGUCCGCCGACACGCACUACACAGAGGUUCACGAUGAGUAGCCCCCUCACUUCGAGCCGGUGGGAGGAACUCAUGUGUAAGCACGUGCCCAAACUUUGAGAUGGAAUCCCACCAUGAUCCACACUGUAACACACAUACCAAGAUGAAUCUACCUUUGGUCCGAUGCCUCUCGUUGUCGGUGGAAACUAAAACCUUUGCGAGCUAAUGAAUGGGCACGUCGCUGCUAACCGUACGAGGGAGUGUCUGAGAGGACCACCAAUGCAUGUAUGUGACCCGAACAUGUAUGUAUGAAAGGGUUGUGUAAUGCUUUAAUAAUCCCACAUCAAGGAGGCUCGCGACUAGUAUUGUACUGAUGGACCCCCCCCCCCCACACACACACACAUAGACACACAUCCCACACCAGCACCUCCACUCUAAGGCAUGUCAAGCUUUUUCAAUAGUGAACAUGUGACCAAACGAGUGUCGUGUUAUAGUUUGAAAAAAAACAGAGAUCAUUCGACCCGUUGUAUACAUUGAUUGAUUUCCUAGGGAUUUAAUGUGCAAAAAUCAAAUUUGAGCUACAUGUGCACCAAAAUGGAUUGCAAAAUCAUAUGUGUGUCCCUGGGUGCAUGUUUCCCCGUGAAAGCCAUUUGUAAACAUUGAGAAUAUUGAUUUUUAAAAUCCAGUAAAUCCAGAACUUAGUUGAAAUUCAUGGAACUUAUCCUGGUGUCAUAUAUGGACACCAGUAGACUGUGAUAUUCUAUUUUUCGUCAAAUUUGAGACAAGUUUUGAUAUAAUCUACUUAAAAACGGGAGAUCGUUAAUAACUCGCAACCAAUAUUUCAUACGAAAUAUUUUUUGGACCAUGUGCUUUAUACCGUGCAAUGCUUCGGUUAAGCAGUAAAGCAACAGAAUGAAUCAUCAAAAAAAUAUACGUGCCGCCACGGGCCCCGUGUGGCGUGUGAGCAGCUGUGAGUUGACGGGACGCAUGCGAGCAGUCCAUCGCGUAGGCAGACCGAGAGGCGGGCGUGCAUGUGUGUGAAUUGACGGGAGUCAUUUUCGCUGCUCAGUGUCACCGAGAGGAGUGCGAGUAUAACUGUGUGAAAUGAUGGUAGGAAUGCCAGAAGUCCGCCGCACAAGCUCAUUGGGAGGCGAGACAGCCUUUGACCGCCGCCCACCUCGCUCCCACUGGUCCAUAUUAAUGGCGCGCCCGAGCCAUCGACCAUAAUAGGCGGCCACACUCCUGGUCCAUGGUGGUCACCAAAGUCUGGACUCUGGAGUGUAUGAGGAUGUUGUCGAAGCGCACCAUCGGAGGCAGUGGCGACGCUGGGGCUGGUGAAGCACCCGCGCAACGCGUGAAGCUGGGCACAGAAGUUGUCGUCACCGCCGACGAGGUCUCGCGCGGCCAGCAACACAACCUUGACUUCAUCGGCACCGUCGUGCCCCCCCCCCAGCUGGAGUCGGGGGUCAACAGCAACUCCGGAAAUGACUGUGACUCCGGCGGAAAACCAGUUAGUCAUCUAUAUACCCAUUUGUGCAGAAAAAAUAUUAUGUGUUUUCUCUGGUUACUCCCCCCCUCUCUAAUUUUUUGGAAUACAAAUCCUAUGGUUAUGUUCUCUCAGUCCAUGAAAUCAGAGUAAUUAAGAUCCUUUAGAUGCACAUAGUUUAUUGAUUGUUUGAAUGUUAUCUGUAUAGGGUUAGUGAUUAAUUUUGUUCUCUACAAAUGAUUUUUGCUAAUAAUCCGACUAGGGUUAGUAUGCGUGAUAAUAAUUCAUGACCAGAUCUUGAGAAUUGAUUUUGAAUGUCCUACAUAUAUGUUUGUGCCUUCUUUUUCUUCCAGAUCUUGUGAAUUGAUUUUGAAUGUCCUACAUGUAUGUUUCUGCCAUUUUCUUUUCAGAUUGGUAUGUACAUAGAUGAGGCUCCGGCUAGCGCCGCCGCCUCAUCUAGAUCUUGGACCCGGCUGCGCCGCUAGAAGCGGCCACGCCCCCUAGACUUGAGGAACCAGUAGAAUCUCCGGUGAGCCGCAUGAGCGAUCUCCCGGAUACCAUCCUUGGGGAGAUCAUCUCCCUUCUCCCCACCAAGGAUGGCUGCCGAACACAAAUCCUCGUAUCUCGGUGGCGCACUCAGUGCCGCCCCACGCCUCUUAAUCUCGACUGUCGUCAGCUCUGUCGAUGAUGAUUCUGAACUCCCCAGAGCCUUCAUCCCCUCCAUCUAGGGCUCCGUUCAACGCAUCUGCAUCCCAGCACGCUACCUGCUGGACAUACCCUACAAGGUGGCCGCCUAGCUGACAUCCCAUCAAUUCGAUAAACUCCAGCAACUCGAGUUCUCGCAUUACUAUAGCGAUAGGUUACCACCAAGAGCUGCAUCUGUGCCUCACCACCGAUGCCCAUCUCAUGGUUUUCCUCCUCUCUCCACACCGCCACCUUGAGCCAGUGCCAUCUAGCAGACAAUCUGGUACAAAUGCUUCGUCGCCCACUACUGAAAAACAUGUGCUUGUGUUGGUUGAUCUGUCGGUGGCCUCACUGCACAACAUCGUCCACUCCAGCUACCCUGCACUGGAGCGUUUGGUGCUUGUUUUUGGAAAAGGAUUCCAUGUCCCUUGUCUCAAAAUAAAGUCGCCUCACCUUGUAAGAACUGGAAUUCAUUUUGAAGGACAGGAGCUCAUCAUCGAAGAUGCCCCUUCACUUCAAAUAUUGCUCCAUGAUUCCUGUUAUAAACCUUCACAAAUAACUGUGGUCUCCGCGCCUAAACUGUGGUCUCUGCGCCUAAACUGAAGACCUUGGGUGAAAUUUAUGAACCGUUUAAAGGUUACAAGAUGGUGGUUGGCUCCACACUUAUUCAGGUACGGUAUAUUAUCCAUGUACACUUUUGUAAUCUGCAUUUUUCAUUUGUGCGCAUAAGUUGAAUAUCACCUUGGAGUACACUUUCGGUGCUAAUAUUAUGUUACAUGCUGAAUGAAGAGCUUGUCCAUGGAUGGCCUAUCAGGGGUGCUGGAUUCUGUCAAGACCUUAUGUAUUCAUAUAUGGUGUCUUGAUCUGAACACCACUAUUGGCUAGCUAUGAUGUUUUACAUGUCUGGUGAAUUUGUAUAUAGAGGUGAUCAUUUCAGACACAUUGAAAGCCCACAUAUAAUGUACUAGAAUUAACCGUUCAGCUGUCGCUCCUUCAACAUACUCUAUUUUAAAUAUUAACUGUUUUCAAUCUUCAUGUCUAUUUAGGUAUUAGAUUUUCGAGAAAAAUGUCUAACCAAUCGAUGGCAGAUGAAGCACAAGGAUUUUGUCAGAUCUCAUGAUAUUCAUUUGAAGACAAUAACGGUGGAAGGAUAUGCAUCCAACCGUGCAAACACUAGAUUUGCCACAUUCUUCAUGUUCAUUGUGAGGGUACUAUUGUCCAGGAGGAUUAAGUUUUUCGAUGAGAAAUUUCUCACAGAUGGACAUGUUGAACAUCAUAAAAAGAAGUUUCACGUGGACCAAAGGGCUUCUGAUCAUACUCGGCUUCUAUUUACAACAACUUUUCGUCAUUGUGGACUAGUAGAUCUUUUGUACCAGGAUAUUGAUUUUAUGGAAUGGGCCGAUCCAUUUGAUUGUGACUGCCGAAAACUUUGGUUGAGUUAGACGUUAUUGCCCUGUUCAUUCUGGGUUAUGUGAACAAUUUAUCCUCGUACUUUUGUAUGUUUUGUAAGCUGGAGUUAGAUAUUCUUGCCCUUUUCUACUCGGCUUUGACCAAUAUUUUCUUUUCAUACAAGUCCAAUGUGUUGCCCUUUCUUUAAUUAAGACAUAAAUAUUAUAAGCAUUCACAACAUAGGGAAAGAACAUCAUUCUUGCGGGAUCCUUGAGAUCAGUGAUCAUUACAGAACCCGCAAGUUCUUAGCACCCGCUAGCACCCACAAAAUUAUUUUCAGCUAGCACACCAAAUGUGAUGUAAUUCUUAAUAAGAAAACCUGCAUGGUACUGGCAGAUUUGGAUUCUGACAUUUGGGACCCACGAGGAAAAAGCAUAUCCAAGGCCGUGUCGACUCGACAGUAAACAUUGAGAAACCUGGUUUUAAAAAUACUAUAAAUCCAAAAACUCACCUGAAAAUCAUGAAACUUGGCAUGGUAUUAUGCCAUGGCACCAAUAUGUUGUGGUAAAAAAUUAGUCCAAUUUGUGACAAGUUUUGGUAUAAACUUCUUACAGAUCAGAACUUCUCUCAAAAAGGCUCAUCGUUCCGAGAGAGAACUUGUCACCUAUGUGUGCGAAACGACAUACGCUAUCUCUUCCCGCCUUGAUUUAUUUUAGACAGGCAACAUUCAACUACAUGAGUUUCGUCCUAAAAAUAUGAAAUUAUACAGGGUUUGUUUUGCCUUUUUAUACAUUAUUUGAGGUUUCUAGGCAUUUUGGAACAUACUUUGGUGUGUGCAAAGGUCAUGUGUGUACUAGCCACCUAUGUAAUUGGAUGUUCAAUCUGUUUGUGGAAUCAAGUCCCUAUAAGUUAUAAGUACAUAUGAUGUUGUUCUGUGUGCAAUGACAUCGCACACGGACCAUACUAGGCAACCCGUGGGUGAUGAUUUCAUCAAUCGCUGACAAUUGUAUACCAGCAAGCAUUUGCCCACAACACACACAGCUUAUUAGCAGGAAUCGUCUGUGUUAUUUUCGAUCUUCGCACACAUUUCUGAAUACGGACCUGUUUGCCGCGUAUCACACACAUCUUGUUAAGUUGAACCAUUUCUGUUCUCUCGGAUGAAUGCAAACAAUUCAUUGUAAUGAACUGUAUGCCCUCUAUCGCGCAGACCUUGAUCUGGCUAACCAUUUCUGUUGCGUUGCCUAAUCGAAAACAGUUGAUCCAAGUGAACUGUAUGUCAUAUAUCACACACACCUUGAUUUGGCUGACCGUUUCUGUUGUCUUUGCUCGCCACAAACAGUUUAUCCGAGUGAACUAUAUGCCAUAUAUCGCACACACCUUCAUCUGGCUGCCCAUUUCUAUUAUUCUGGCUCAUCGCAAAUAGUUCAUUGAACUGAGCCAUAUGCCCUGCAUCGCACACGCAACGAAAAUCUGAACCGUGUUUGAUGUUUCCGCCAUCGCAAACAUUUUUCAUCUUUUUUUUACGGUUUUUAUACAUCACCGUUUGUGAUUAAUGCAUUACACAUAAUUUUGUCGAAGGGUCUCUAAUUGUAGUGUCGCGUGAGCAGCAUCCUACAGUACUGUGGUAUUACUCAUGAGUUCUCUGCUAUUUACACUCCCCAACAGGAUGGAGUUGUUUAAUGAAAGAACAGAACUCUCAUUGAAAUGGCGAGAACAAUUCUGAGUGAGUACAAAACUCCCAUUUGCUUCUGGGCUGAUGCUAUUAACACUGCUUGUCAUGUUAUCAAUCGUGUUUAUCUUCACAAGUUACUUAAGAAAACUUCAUAUGAGCUUAUCACUGGCAAGAAACCUAAUGUUUCUUAUCUACGUGUUUUUGGGGCACCUUGUUACAUUCUUGAUAUGGAUCACUCUUCCAAGUUUGCACCUAAGGAACAUGAAGGUUUUCUUCUUGGUUAUGGCUCAAACUCGCAUACAUAUCAUGUCUAUGACUCUCAGCACAUGAAAGUUAUGGAAAUGGUAAAUGUGCGGUUUGAUGAAUCUAACGGCACUCAAAAGGAGCACCUACCAAAUGUGAUAGAUGAACCAUUGAUAUCGGAUGCUUUCAACAAAUCACCAUUGGGAGCGUCAAGCCUGUUGAAGGAAAAGCACAUGAAUCCUCUGAUGAUGAUGCUCCUAUGACUCAAAGCAGAACUCGUCAAACCACUGCCGAAGCAAAUGCUCCUCCGAAUGGAAAUGGAAAUCAAAAUCCAAUUGCCAAUCAAAAUGGCAAUCCUGAAGGAAAUGAUGAUACAAAUGCUCAUCCCCGUGUGGCAAAUCGAGUUGAUCCUUCACUAAUUCUUAAUGAAAUUGAGAAUCUAGGUUAUCGACCCACAACUCAUUCACGCACUCGUUUGGCUAACUACUGCGGCAGUUUCUCCUUUGUUUCACUAGCAGAACCUACGAUGUAUGAAGAAACCAUGAAUGGUUCGGAUUGGAUGAAUGCCAUGCAAGAGGAGUUGGUGCAAUUCGAAUUGAAUGUUGUAUGGAAAUUGGUUGACAAAUCAAAUCCCAAGAAGCACAAUAUCAUCGGCACAAAAAUGGAUUUUCCGCAAUAAGCAAGAUGAAAAUGGCAUUGUGGUGAGAAACAAGGCACGACGUGUUGCUCAAGGGUACACUUAGGUAGAAGGUAUUGAUUUUGGUGAAACAUAUGCACCUGUUGCAUGCCAUGAGGCAAUUCGCAUUCUUCUCGCUUAUGCAAAUUACAAUGACAUCUUGCUUUAUCAAAUGGAUGUGAAAAGUGCCAUCCUAAAUGUUGAAGUUGAUGAGGAAGUUUAUAUUAGACAACCACCUGGCUUUGAACACCCUGAGUUUCCUAACAAAGUUUUCAGGUUGAAGAAUGCUUUAUGUGGGCUAAAGCAAGCCCCUCUAGCAUGGUAUGAUACCCUGAAGAAGUUUUUGCUCGACAAAGGUUUCAAGUCAGGAUCCACAGACCCCACACUUUUCACUCGUGCAGUUGACAAUGAUUUAUUCGUUUGUCAAAUAUAUGUGGAUGAUAUUAUCUUCGACUGUACUAACAAUGUUUGCAGCUUAGAAUUCGGGAAAAUGAUGUUCGAUAAAUAUCAAAUGUCCAUGAAGCGGGAACUCAAAUUCUUUCUCGGACUGCAAAUACGUCAACAAGCAAAUGGCAUUUUCAUUUCUCAGGAGAAAAAUCUGAAAGAGUGUCUGAAUAAGUUCAAAAUGCAAGACUCCAAACUGAAGGGCUAUAAAACUCCAAUGCCCACGAAUAGUAAGCCGGAUGCAGAUGUGUAUGGUAAGGAUUACGAUCAGAAAGCUUAUCGUUCUAUGAUUGGAUAUCUUCUUUAUCUUUGUGCAUCAAGAUCUGACAUUAUGUUGAGUGUUUGUAUGUGUGCCCGCUAUCAAGCUGCACCGAAAGAAUCGCAUCACCAAGCGGUCAAGCGCAUUGUGAGAUAUUUGGCUCACACCCCCACCUUAGGUUUAUGGUAUCCUAAGGGAGUACAGUUUGAUCUUGUUGGAUACUCAUACUUAGAUUGGGCUGGUGACUUGGUUGAUAGGAAAUCUACCUCGGGCACAUGUCAUUUCCUCGGUAGAUCUUUGUUCUGUUGGUCAUCUAGGAAGCAGAAUCGUGUAUCUCUGUCUACGACUGAGGCCGAAUAUAUUGCUGCUGGCUCUUGUUGCACUCAGUUAUUGUGCAUGAAGCAGAAUCUGAAGGAUUAUGGCAUCAAGGUCAAGCAUAUCCCUCUAUAUUGUGAUAAUGAGAGUGCCAUCAAAAUUGCACACAAUCAUUGCAUCAUUAGUUCGCACGAAGCACAUUGCCACUAGACAUCAUUUUAUUCACGAUCGUGUUGCUCGAGAGGAUAUCGUUAUCAAUCACGUCAACACCGAAGACAAUCUCGCUGAUAUUUUUACCAAGCCUGUGAUGCCCCAAGACCGGCGCUCCAGAUGCCUUCCAUGGUUUCCUAUUUAUCGAGGCUCCUCCUAAAUUCUCAAUAUUUUUGGACCUACCGAAUACCCACUUCUUAUUCAAACUCAUUUGAAUUUAAUUCAAACGAGUUUGAAUCCAAUCUUCACACACACGCUCACUUCUAUUUUCUUGGAUCAAGCUCAUUUUUAUGAGUCCGGGAAAAUUGUUCGCAUGCUCAAUUUCUUUCCCUAACCCCCUCUUCCUUUUCUUCCCUCUAAUGCUUUUCUGUUAAAGGAAUAUGAGAGAGGUAGUGGAGAGCCCAGCAGCCUCCUUCUCCACUGGGCCGGCCUCCCAGGCCCACCUAACCAUCUUAAACCCUAGGCCCGACCCCUCCUCUCGACCUCUCCCUCUCGUCCUCCACACCGCUGCCACUCUCACACACGCACGCAUCGAGCCAGGGAGAGCCCUGCUCGAUCCCCUCCUCCCUCGAUGCGCCGUCAGAGAGAGAGAGCAGCACCACACCUCGCCCGAUCCCCUACUCCCGGCCAUCUUCGCCCGCGACCUGCCGUCCUCCUCCCCCGAGCCUGAGGUGCUCUCCGUCGCAGCCACCUCGCGCUCGCCUCCUUCUCUUCCUUGUGCGCCCGCGACCAGGGCCGCCUCGUCAGCAAGCUCGCCCCGUGCAUCUCCGCCUCCACGCCAGCCGGAGCCGCGCCGCUCCUCCCUCCGUAGUCGAACCGCCCGGACCCGUGCCUCCGCCCGCCGCCAUCUCCUUCCUGGAGCCCCUCGCCGUCUUCCGCGCCAAGUCCCAACGCCAGCGCAGCCGCUCGCGGUGCCGUGCCUCACAUCGUCGUCAUCCAGAGCCACGGACACGACGAUAGCUCAGCCGCUGGCCCCGCCUCCUCUGCUCGCCUGUUCCCGGUCCUCCACCGGCAGGAACCCAGCUGCCACCGCGACCAAGCUCUGCCCCGCGACACCGCUUCUGCAUCAGCACGCUCAGCCGCGAUGGCCUCUGCUUCACCCUGCAUCGAACGACAAGAGCUGGUGCCUCGACCGCUCCUGUUGACCGCGCCCCGCCUGCAUCGCCAUGGAUGACCCCAAGCUCCUGCUGCAGUCGCUGCAUCCCAGCUCCUCCCCUGCUUCUCCGACUUCGUCCUCGGCCCGACAGCAUCCACCGGCCUUCAACCCCGACGCCCGACCCGGCCAUCUUCGGUUGCUGCCCCUUCACGGCCAGCACGGACAAGAGCUUCACCCACCAUGCUGCCCUCCUGGCCUCGUCGCCCCUCUUGUCGCUGCCAAAGAAGCGGCAACCAGGAACGCCUAAGGACUCCUUCGUGGUUUUCGCCAAGUUCGACCACCACUGAAUGAGGGGUUUUUGCCUUUCUCAUUUUGGAUACGCCAAGUUCCUCGGAGAUCCACCGAUGCCUUAGUAUGACUACAGGACCGGAACGCAACUUCCAUGGUGAUCUUGUACCACUACCGUCACAAGAACCGAGAUCGGCAAGUCCGAAGACCCCAAGUACCACAACAUCUUUGGGAGAACCAUGAACAUCAAGUUCCUCUGCCAUGAACGGCUACAUUAUUGUGGACCCGCCAAGUACCCUCUCCGGAUCGCCAAGUUCGUCUACGAAAUGUGUACCACUACGCCGAAGACCUCAGAUCCGUUCCUCUUCGAAACGUGAACCACUACUUUCCUCGACGAACCCGAUCCGCUCCGAAAAUACACGCUUCAAAGGUAUAAUGACGAGAUGACUGCUCGUGAACGAAUGCAUGUGAUGUGUUGUAUGAGAUGCCCACGUUUGCACCAUGUGCGAAUCGUCGCUUGCUCGUUCCUCGUUUUCCAUCCCAUCGACAUGUGGGAAUCCGGUAUCCGGGAUCACCCCUCCAUCCUUGCAUGGCACGCUCCCACCACACUUCCUUUUUGCACCGGUAUCUCCAUGAGCUACCGGAACCGAUAUGUUGUCGUGGCAUCAUUUUCGGAUUUGUUGCCGUGGCACACUUCCUUUCCACCAUGGUGACAAAUGCUUCAUAAUAUGCUCAUGUCAACAUUUUCAUAAAAAUUGCAUAAAACUUGUAUGUCAUCUGCAUCAUGUUAACAACAUUUAAAAUGUUUGAAAUUGUUGUUUACAUUAAAUUGCUAAAUGCAAGUGGGGAUUACCGGUAUUGUUGUUCGAUAUUUUUGGCCUCAUUUAAAGUUGCCUAAAUAGUUAGUUUAAUUAUGCUUCAUCUCUUGCCAUGUUUAACAACAUUGAAUAUUGUUGAGUAGCUUAAACGACAGCAAAUUAAAUAAUUGAAUGUGGUGUUUUGUCAAUAUGCAACUUGUUGCAUAUUGAGCUCCACUUUGUCAUGCCAUGCCUCUUUAAACCGGACAUGCAUCAUACUUGAUUGUGCAUCAUGCCAUGUUUAUGUGAUGUUUGUUUACCAUGUUGUUUUCUUCUUUUUAGUUGCGCUUCUUCUCAAUAGGUCCGGUUACAUUGCGAUUGUAAGGAUCUAUUCGGCUACGUUGGUUCGUCUACUUCAUGGAUUCAGUCUUCUUCCUAACGGGAUUUCAAGCAAGAUGCCCGUUAUCUUUAAUCUCACUACUAUCUUCCUACGCUGGUUGUCUCGAUACUAUCGCUAUGUCACGCUACCUACCACUUGUUUAUCAAUCCUCCGAAAUUGCCAUGAUAGCCUCUAACCUUUUCCACCGUCCUAGCAAACCGUUGUUUGGCUAUGUUACUGCUUUGCUCAGCCCCUCUUAUAGCGUUGCUAGUUGCAGGUGCAGUUGCAGUUUGUUUCAUGUUGGGAUAUGGAUAUCAUGGGAUAUCACAAUAUCUCUUAUUCAAUUAAUGCACAUAUAUAUUUGGUUAUGGGUGGAAGGCUCGGCCUUUUGCCUGGUGUUUUGCUCCACUAAUGCUGCCCUAGUUUCCGUCAUACCGGCGUUAUGUUCCUUGAUUUUGCGUCCCUAACACAAUGAGGGUUUAUGGGCCCCUCUUGACAUAUCGCUUUGAAUAAAACUCUUCCAGCAAGGCCCAACAUUGGUUUUACCAUUUGCUCAACAUAAUAACUAAACCUGAUAUUAAAUUUGACGCAUAGGGAGUUAGCGCUACCCGGGGAGUAAUUUAACAUAAUACAGGGGGGCAGUGCUGAUGGUGUUGGUCCCAAACGGGCAGACUGCGGGGCCACCACGGGGCAACCCGGGGAUCUGGUUUUACUCGUAGGCUUUCCCAUCCGGACGUGGCCUGAGACGAGAUACACGCGGCUACUAUUAGGGUGUCAGCACAUCGGGAGGUCUUGCUGGACUAGUUUUACCAUUUUCGAAAUGUCUUGUACACCAGGAUUCCGAGUCUGAUCGGAGGGUCCUGCGAUGGAGGAUUGUCUACGUGGAUCGUGAGCUUGUUAUGGGCUAAGUUGGGACACCCCUGCAGGUUUUAAACUUUCGAGAGCCGUGCCCACGGUUAUGUGGCAGAUGGGAAUUUGCUAAUAUCCGAUUGUAGUGGACUUGAACUAAAUUCAACUGAAAUACACCAACCGCGCGCGUAAUUGUGACUGUCUCUUUUCGGGUGCGUACGAGAAGAGAACACGGUUGGGUAAUGUUUGAACGUAAGUAGUUCAGGAUCACUUCUUGAUCAUUACUAGUUUGCGAUUGGUGCGUAGUUUCUCACUUUAUUCUUGUACUCGUAAGUUAGCCACCAUACCAUGCUUAGUCGCUUGCUGCAACCCCACCACUUAUCCUUUCCAUACCCAUUAAGCUUUGCUAGUCUUGAUACCCAUGGUAAUGGGAUUGAUGAGUCCUCGUGGCUCACGGAUUACUACAACAACAGUUGCAAUUACAUGUAAUGCGAUGCUAUGACGUGAGAGCGUUGCUUGCUUGUUUGGAGUUCUUCCGCUUCUUCUUCUUCGAUCAAGGGAUAGGUUCCGGGUCAGGGGAGCCUGGGCUAGCAGGGUGGAUGUCGUUCUUCUUUUUCGUUUGAUUUCAUCCGUAGUCGGAUCCUAGUAUUUUGUAUGAUGAUUGUUAUGUAUUGAGGAAUUGUUGUAUUCAUGAUGUAGCUUGUGGCAAGUGUAAGUCUUUAUCUUGUAUUCUCAUCCAUUCAGUACAUGGUAUGUUCUAAUGAUAUCCACCUUGCUAUGCGCUCGAAAUGCGGUUGUGCCCCAAUCAUGAAUUCGUCACGUGAUUGGGAUAGAAUCGCAUCUUGGGCGCUACAAGUUGGUAUUAGAGUCUUACCGACCUUAGGAGCCCCUUGAUUGAUCGAACUGCUGACGAUGUUGAGUCUAGAAAGAAAACUAUUUUGAGUCUUAGUUAUAUCGGAGAGUAGGAAUUCUUUUUACUCCUUAUCUCCUUCGUCUCUAUGGUGAGGACUCCCGACGUAGAUGUUUUGACUUCACUCUACUCUUUUUCACUCAAUUUUUUAGGAUCACACGGGUAUUGUUGGAUCGAUGCGAUAUCAUUGUGACGGAAAUUCUGUCUUGGUGCCUCCUGACAUUUAGGGGUUUUGGCAGUGUCCUGGGGAGUUGAACUCCAAGGUGUUUUUGUUACAGUGCUUAUCAUUUGAGUUCCAGAAUACCAGAGGGCGCCGACAUCGAAAACGCUUCUAUACUCUUUGUGGUGAGAGUAGUUUGACGACACCUAGUACUGGGGAGAGCGAUCAGAUGUAUUGCCACAACUAGUAUAUCGGAUGUUUUCGAAGGUCUGAGGUACACGAUUUCUGAAGGUUUCUUGGUUAUGUGUUGACGGAUGGAUACAGUUGGAGCGUAGGGCUUGUUAGUUGUGUGAUAUAUUUGUGCCUCCCUGUAUCCCCAACACCAGAUUGCAUAACCAGAAAGUUUCGGGAGUUAAUAGGUGGGAAUUCAAGUAUCACGUAGGAUAUCUUUCCAACAGACACAUGAUACGAUAUGGGGUCUAUCAUAUGUUUGUUUCUGGCUUAUUCUGCAAGCCAAUCCUUUUUUAUAUUUUGUGUUGUGGUAUUCAAGUUGCUUCGAAGUCAAAUGUGGAUUCCAUACCUUUUCUAAACAAUGUUCCCAUCUUUCUAUGUGGAUGCUAAUCCUUCUUGUUUAUCGAGAUUGUCAUGUCAAUUCUUUUCCAACCGGUUUGCUUCUCGUCAAGAUGAUCCUAUCAUUUUCCUCAUUCGGAAGAUCACCUCUCAGUUUUCCCAACAUUGUUCGUUUCAUCCGUCCCGAAGUUGCCUUUGUUUUCCCACCCUCCCACCCUUUUUCUUCAAAGACUCAGAGAUAUCAAAUCAACUAUCCAUUUUAUUCAUGUGAAGUCUCUUCAUUCUUUCCAAUCAAUGUUUGUACCCGGUGAUUAUCAUGAAGAUGGUCAGGAGUUUCAUGUUCAUCAUUCUUCGUUCUUUUUCUUCUCCGGUGGAUUCAAUUCAAGCUUUCGGUGUUGAUCAUACCAUUUCCUCCUUUUCCAAAUGCUUUCUCAUGCCGGUCCACCCUCUGAAUCGUUCACUUCUCGCUAUUCAUUUGUUUUGGAGUGCUGAAGAUAUCUCAGAAGAUUCAAGUCUCCAUUCUUAAUACUUUCAAGCUAUUUUGAGGUUCUUACCUUAUUCAAGCCAUCUAAUUCGACCGGUGCGGUCUCUCCUUAAAAUUGUUCAACGGUGUUUCUUUGAGUGGGCCCUAACCCACGGGUCUUUUCCCAGGAUCUUACCUGACUCUUCUAAUUUUUUCCGGAGCUAUUCUCAAAUUCUUUUCAAUGUUUGAUGUAAGAAUGGAUUUCCAUCACUCUUAUGCCUUCUUCAAUAUUUUUUCAAAUUGUUUUCAUCUUUCGCUCAACCUUUCUAUUCCGGAGUGCCUCAACAAAUCAUGGUGGUGUUUCUCAUUGUCAUUCUUGGAUUUUGAAGACCGAAGAAGAGUUCCUCCUAAAUCCUUACCCGUUCUUCCAAAGAUUCAUGGUUCUAGCAUUAUGCCAUCCUCUCAUAAUUGUUUUCCAUUGUGAGAAUUCUUUUCACCCAUCCAGAGCAAUUCAGGAGUCUUUUCAGUUUGAUUCUCCGGAGCCCAUCAUCUCAAAAUUAUUCAUUUUCAACUUUCUGCUCUCGUUUUCCCAUUCUUCGGGUGCAUCGUUCAAGUAUUCUCUAGUCAGCUUAUGAUCUCUUCGUGCUCUCAUAUCUAAAUUCCCUCAAGUAUCUUCGUUCGUUUUCAAAUCUUAUGGUGGUCUAUUCAAGAUUCCUCUUCUCUUGUUACCAUUUCAAUUCAUUUGUUCCUUCCAAAAUCCUACUGGCGAUUCGUUGAAGACCUUAUUCAAGUUUGCGCUAUAUCUCUCCUUAACCCCUUUCAACGAGAAUGAGUAGUAUGCCAAAUCCAUUGUGGGUCAUCAAUUUAAUUGAUGAAGGAUAAGCAUAAUGUAAUUCUUAUUCUUGUUUCAUCGUGUAAAUUCAAUUCCGAUUCCGGAGGUUCAUCAAAAUUCUUGGUUUCAAUUGUUCAUCUUUCUUUUUCGUAGUUCCAAGUUUUCUCGGUUAUAUCAUCGCGAAGCUCCAUCUAAUCAAUGCAAGGAUUCGUCUUAUUCUUUUCAAUCUUCCUUUCUUUGCGAUCACCGGAGUUCUUCAAGAGUUUCUUCAUGGUGGUUCAUCAAGGAUUUAAUUCCUUCUCGAAGUGUUCUCCAAGAUUCUUGUUGGAGGAGCUCAAGCAUUCUUCAUCUUGCAUUCUGAAGUGCAAUUGUUCUCCCUUAUCUUUUGAGGUGGUAGUAUAUCAUUCUUGAUUCACAAGAAUGGGAUAUUUAAACCAUCGUUUUCUCUUCAUUCAUGAGUUGUUUCAACCCAUCUAUUUUUUUCAUUUGAGGUUAUCUUCGUAUAGAGUUCACCUAAAGCCUUCCAUUGGGAAUGUUGUUAUUUGUGGUGCUCAUCAAUGAUUCAAGUUUUCUCCUGUCCUCUCGGAGAAAGAAGUGUUCAUCUCUUCAUUCAUCUCAAUCAAUCAUUGUUUUCGUUAGUGGCCGAAUUUCACCUCAAAUUUUGAGAUGUUUUCCAUAAGCCCACAACAAGCUUACUCUUUUCUUUGUUGGUUUUCCAACAACUCCGUUCAACCCUUCUCCUAAGGAUGCUCUUUCAAAUUCAUUUGAGGUAGAAGAUGUUGUUUUCUUCUCCGUUCUUCUGAUUCCAUUCUUACAUUUGUUCUAUAGGAUUGUGACGUUACUCUCUUCGACCCAUCAUCUCAUUUUGUAAAUAUCAUGUUCUUUUCCUUGCUUAUCCGUUUAGCAAGAGUGUUGUGUCCUCUGCUCAAGUUAUUUUCAUCUUAUCAAGUCUUGCAUCUCUUUUCAACCGGAGUGUUGUCCGAAUUUGUUCUUCCUUGUUCCUUGUUUAUCUCAUUUCAACCAGAGUGGUUUCAAUUCCUUCUUGUCCAUUGUGCUCGUCAUUCAUAGCUUUGCAACCUCCAAGAUUCACAUGGUGUUCCUUGUUUCUCUUUUGUACCGGAGUGCUCUCAAUUGUGUUCAACUCUGUUGUGUUCUUUCUUUCAAUUUUUCAACCUCUCAAGGUUCAUUGGUUUCACUCGUUUGUCAAAGAAGCAACUUUGUUUUAUCUCUUCCUCUUCCGUUUCUCCCCGGUGCCAUCCUUAGAUCUCGGGUCGAGAUCUCUUGUAAGUGGAGGAGAGUUGUGACGCCCCAAGACCGGCGCUCCAGAUGCCUUCCAUGGAUUCCGAGAUUCGUCGUGUGAUUUGUUUUGUUCGUCGCAUUCAUUUUGCAUCAUUUGCAUUGCAUCAUGUCAUCAUGCAACCCUUUUUAAAACUCAACUAAAUAAAUUGCAUAGAUCGUUGAUCUAUUUAUAUCGAGGGAAAUGCACAUGGUGAUUUCACUUUACAACAUAUAAAAGUCUCCCAAUAUUAUUAGGGAGCUAUAUUAAAAUAUUCCAUUAUCUUUGGAAAUUACCCAUGAACUCACUUGCAAUUUAAUUCCAUGCCUCUUAUGCUUCAAGUUGCACCUCCAAACUUUGCCAACAAUUCCUUUCCCAUUUAUCGAGGCUCCUCCCAAAUUCUCAAUAUUUUUGGACCUACCGAAUACCCACUUCUUAUUCAAACUCAUUUGAAUUUAAUUCAAACGAGUUCGAAUCCAAUCUUCACACACACGCUCACUUCUAUUUUCUUGGAUCAAGCUCAUUUUUAUGAGUCCCUGAAAAUUAUCCGCAUGCUCAAAUUCUUUCCCUAACCCCCUCUUUCUUUUCUUCUCUCUAAUGCUUUUCUGUUAAAGGAAAUAUGAGAGAGGGAGUGGAGAGCCCAGCAGCCUCCCUCUCCACUGGGCCGGCCUCCCAGGCCCACCUAACCCUCCUAAACCCUAGGUCCGACCCCUCCUCUCGACCUCUCCCUCUCGUCCUCCACACCGCCGCCACUCUCACACACGCACGCAUCGAGCCAGGGAGAGCCCUGCUCGAUCCCUCCUCCCUCGAUGCGCCGUCCGAGAGAGAGCGCAGCACAGCACCGUGCCUCGCCCGUUCCCCUCCUCCCGGCCAUCUUCGCCAGCGACCCGCCGUCCUCCUCCCCCGAUCCUGAGGUGGUCUCCGUCGUUAGCCACGUCGCGCUCGCCUCCUUCUCUUCCUCGCGCGCCCGCGACCAGGGCCGCCUCGUCACCAAGCACGCCCCGCGCCUCUCCGCCUCCGCGCCAGCCAGAGCCGUGCCGCUCCUCCCUCCGCAGUCGAACCGCCCGGACCCGUGCCUCCGCCCGCUGCCAUCUCGUUCCUGGAGCCCCUCGCCGUCUUCCGCGCCAAGUCCCGACGCCAGCGCAGCCGCUCGCGUCGCCCUGCCUCACAUCUUCGUCGUCCAGAACCACGGACACGACGAUAGCUCAGGCGCCGACCGCGCCUCCUCUGCUCGCCUGUUCCCGGUCCUCCACUGGCAGGAACCCAGCCGCCACCACGACCAAGCUCUGCCCUGCGACACUGCUUCUGCAUCAGCACGCUCAGCCACGACGCCCUCUGCUUCACCCUGCAUCGAACAACAGGAGCUGGUGCCUCGACCACUCCCGUUGACCGCGCCCCGCCUGCAUCGCCAUGGACGACCCCAAGCUCCUGCUGCAGUCGCUGCUUCCCAGCUCCUCCCCUGCUUCUCCGGCUUCGUCCUUGGCCAGACAGCAUCCACCGGCCUUUAACCCCGACGCCCGACCCGACCAUCUUCGGUUGCUGCCCCUUCACGGCUAGCACGCAGAAGAGCUCCACCCACCUUGCUGCCCCGCUGGCCUCGUCGCCCCUCUGGUCGCUGCCAAGACGCGGCAACGAGGAACGCCCAAGGACGCCUUCGUGGUUUUUGCCAAGUUCGAGCACCGCUGAACGAGGGUUUUUUGCCUUGCUCAUUUUGGAUACGCCAAGUUCCUCGGAGAUCCACCGAUGCCUAGUACGACUACAGGACCGGAAUGCAAGUUCCACGGUGACCUUGUACCACUACCAUCAGAAGAACCGGGAUCGGCAAGUCUGAAGACCCCAAGUACCAGGACAUCUUUGCGAGAACCGUGAACAUCAAGUUCCUCUUCCACGAACGGUUACAGUGUUGUGGAUCCGGCAAGUACCCUCUCCGGAUCGCCAAGUUCGUCUACGAAAUGUGUACCACUAUGCCGAAGACCUCAUAUCCGUUCCUCUUCGAAACGUGAACCACUACUUCCCUCGACGAACCCGAUCUGCUCUGAAAAUGCAUGCUUCAAAGGUAUAAUGAUGAGACGACCGCUCGUGAACGAAUGCAUGUGAUGUGUUGUAUGAGAUGCCCAUGUUUGCACCAUGUUUGAAUCGCCGCUUGCUCGUUCCUCGUUUUCUAUGCCAUCGACAUGUGGGAACCCGGUAUUCGGGACCACCCCACCAUCCUUGCAUGACACGCUUCCGCCACACUUCCUUUUGCACCGGUGUCUCCAUGAGCUACCGGAACCGAUAUGUUGUCGUGGCAUCAUUUUUGGAUUCGGUGUCGUGGCACACUUUCUUUCCACCAUGGUGACAAAUGCUUCAUAAUAUGCUCAUGUCAACAUUUUCAUAAAAAUUGCAUAAAACUUUUAUAUGUCAUCCGCAUCAUGUUAACAACAUUUAAAAUGUUUAAAAUUGUUGUUUGCAUUAAAUUGCUAAAUGCAAAUGGGGAUUACCAGAAUUGUUGUUUGAUAUUUUUGGCCUCAUUUAAACUUGCCUAAAUAGUUAGUUUAAUUAUGCUUCAUCUCUUGCCAUGUUUAACAACAUUGAAUAUUGUUGAGUAGCUUAAACGACAGCAAAUUAAAUAAUUGAAUGUGGUGUUUUGUCAAUAUGCAACUCGUUGCAUAUUGAGCUCCACUUAAUUUGUGUAGUAUUGUUUGUUGCACUUUUCCAUGCCAUGCCUCUUUAAACCGGACAUGCAUCAUACUUUAUUGUGCAUCAUGCCAUGUUUAUGUGAUGGUUGUUUACCAUGUAGUUUGCUUCUUUCCGGUUGCGCUUCUUCUCAAUAGGUCCAGUUACAUUGCGAUUGUGAGGAUCCAUUCAGCUACGUUGGUUCCUCUACUUCAUGGAUUCGGUCUUCUUCCUAGCGGGAUUUCAGGCAAGAUCACCGUCACCUUGGAUCUCACUACUAUCUUUGCUAUGCUAGUUGUCUCGAUGCUAUCGCUAUGUCGCGCUACCUACCACUUGUUUAUAAAGCCUCCCAAAUUGCCAUGAUAGCCUCUAACCUUUUCCACCGUCCUAGAAAACCAUUGUUUGGCUAUGUUACCGCUUUGCUCAGCCCCUCUUAUAGCGUUGCUAGUUACAGGUGCAGUUGCAGUUUGUUCCAUGUUGGGACAUGGAUAUCAUGGGAUAUCACAAUAUCUCUUACUUAAUUAAUGCACAUAUAUACUUGGUAAUGGGUGGAAGGCUCGGCCUUUUGCCUGGUGUUUUGUUCCACUCAUGUCGCGCUAGUUUCCGUCAUACCGGUGUUAUGUUCCUUGAUUUUGCGUCCCUAACAAGGUGAGGGUUUAUGGGCCCCUCUUGAUAGUUCGCUUUGAAAAAAAUUCUUCCAGCAAGGCCCAACAUUGGUUUUACCAUUUGCUCAACAUAAUAACUAAACCUGAUGUUAAAUUUGACGCAUAGGGAGUUAGCGCUACCCAAGGAGUAAUUUAACAUAAUACAGGGGGGCAGUGAUGAUGGUGUUGGUCCCAAACGGGCAGACUGCGGGGCCACCACGGUGCAACCCGGGGAUCUGGUUUUACUCGUAGGCUUUCCCAUGCGGACGUGGCCUGAGAUGAGAUACGCCCGGCUACUAUCAGGGUGUUAGCACGCCGGGAGGUCUUGCUAGACUAGUUUUACCAUUGUCGAAAUGUCUUGUGCACCGGGAUUCGGAGUCUGAUCGAAGAGUCCCACGAUGGAGGAUUGUCUCCGCAGAUCGUGAGCUUGUCAUGGGAUAAGUUGGGACACCCCUGUAGGGUUUAAACUUUCAAGAGCCAUGCCCGCAGUUAUGUGGCAGAUGGGAAUUUGUCAAUAUCCGGUUGUAGUGGACUUGAACUAAACUCAAUUAAAAUACACCACCGCGUGCGUAACCGUGACUGUCUCUUUUCGGGUGAGUUCGAGAAAAGAACACAGUUGGGUAAAGUUUGAACAUAUGUAGUUUAGGAUCACUUCUUGAUCAUUACUAGUUUGCGACUGUUGCAUAGUUUCUCACCUUAUUCUUGUACUCGUAAGUUAGCCACCAUACCAUGCUUAGUCGCUUGCUGCAACCCCACCACUUAUCCUUUCCAUACCCAGUAAGCUUUGCUAGUCUCCUCGUGGCUCACAGAUUACUACAACAACAGUUGCAGGUAUAGGUAGUGUGAUGCUAUGACGUGAGAGCGUUGCUUGCUUGUUUGGAGUUCUUCCGCUUCUUCUUCUUCGAUCAAGGGAUAGGUUCCUGGUCGGGGGAGCCUGGGCUAGCAAGGUGGAUGUCGUUCUUCUUUUUCGUUUGAUUUCAUCCGUAGACGGAUCCUGGUAUUUUGUAUGAUGAUUGCUAUGUAUUGAUGAAUUGUUGUAUUCAUGAUGUAGCUUGUGGCGAGUGUAAGACUUUAUCUUGUAUUCUCAUCUAUUCAGUACAUGGUAUGUUGUAAUGAUAUCCACCUUGCUAUACGCUCGAAAUGCGGUUUUUCCCCAUUCAUGAAUUCAUCACGUGAUUGGGAUAGAAUCGCAUCUUGGGCGCUACAAAGCCUCUCAACGAGAAAAGAUUCUGUGCAUUACGGUGUGAGCUAAAUAUCUAGACUUCACAAAUGUGCAGUAAGCUGGACUCAACACCCGUGCUACCCCUUCCACAUCAUUGAAGGAAUGGGUGCAUAACACUCGAAGAGUUUGAAAAUUUCGACAAAGUGAAAAUUUCUUUCUGAGAGUGAAUACAUUAAUGAAGAACUCGACUAAUCGGGAGCCAUGAUAAUUGUGCGACGCUUGGGGUCACACAGUUCUUAUAUGGAGUUUCGCCACAAUUCUCUUUCAUUGAAUUUCGUCUCGAUCAAAAGCUUUAGUGUUUGUCCGAAUGCAUUUCCCUCAUAGCUAUUUGCUCGAGUGUUUGUAUUUUUCUCGCUGAGUGAAAUGCCUAGGACCCUGUUUUCCCUUUGUUCUAUAUCUUCCAGUCUAUGAUGUUCCGUUGCAAAUGGUCUAUUUUAUCUGGAACGAAACUUUAUCUGGUGUCCUUAACCACGAUUAAGGUUUGGUCCAAAGAUAUAUCUAAUUUGGCAGAAGCCGUCCAAAAUUUUGAUUUUUCCACCCAAGUCAGGACCACGAUCUUUAUGACGGUUGCCACAUGAAAUACAUCAUCUGAUACUCCAUCCUAAUAUUUGAAUCAUAAUCGUAUCUGCUUAGAGACCGUUCCAUCAAAAUCCUCGGCGUGUGGUUAAUUCCAUUCGCCUAUAUAUAUACCGCACCGCUCCUCUGUCCACCUUUACCCACUUUCUCCUCGUUCCUACUCUGCCAAAACCCUCGCCGUAGCGCUCCUCCUUGAGCUCGACGCCGACAACCCCUUCGCCGCUUAACUGCCGGGGUCACCGGAGUCAUUCCACGCUGUUGCGGGACAUCUUCCUCCGAGGUGCCGUAGUUGCUACACGUCACCAAGCUAGGGUACGUGUGAUUCGAACUCGGACCUCCAAUCUUCUUGCUUCGAGUUAAUCCACGGUUAUUUAUCUCUGAAUUUCCUCAUAUCUUAGAUCUAGGUUUUCACCCUUCUAGUGAGGAUGAGGUUUGUAGUUGUCCCUCGCAUCCGAAUGUCUCAGAUCUAGGGUUUGUGUUAUGAUUCGCUCGAACGAUAUGCCUAGCUCGUUGUCUAGUAUUUUCUUCAAACCUGCUAGCUCGAUCUAUUUGUUUCAUUCAGUUGAACCAUUUCACAAAGUUUAUAUCUAAUUCUUCCUCAAAAUGGUACUUGUUCAAAAAAAUCAUUCACUAAGAGCAUUUGUGACCAUGUCCCCAUUUUCCCUCGUACCUAUUCUUAUUCACAGGUGUAUGCAUUCUGUUGAGGAUUCUGCCAAACCCCACAGUAUGGCUGAUGAAGAAGAGGUACUCAUGGGCACUGCAAAUGAAUCUAAAGAACCAAAUGCAAAGGGCCCAACAGCAGACCCUUCUACUAGCAAGAGGAAGAGACCCGAACCAAAUGAGCAAGAAGCAGAUGCUCCGAAGAAAAGAAAAGGUGGCAGGCAACCUCUAAAAAAUUCGGCACAGUACAUCUCUCAUGAUGAUUACAACACAGUACCUAGAGAAGAUUCAACUCAGAGAAAGAGGCGGGUGCAAAAGAUUCAACAUCACUGGGUUUGGAAGUGGUUCCACUACAAGAUGGUUCAUCCUCGAUAUGACAAGACCUUUGCCUUCCAUCCCCCCUGGAGUGAUUGCCGUGAAAUUGGACUCAUCAGGGCAGGUGAACCCCAACAAAGACCUCGACCGCCCGACACUGAUGAUUCGUCUCUUAAGACACUGGAUUCUUAUCCCGAAGAAAAAGCCAAAUGCAUCAAGAAUGCUGAAAAGAGGGCCAAGAAGGCUAAAAAGGAAUAUGCAAAAGAAGAACAAAAUCAUCGUCUCAUUAAAUCAGACGUCGAGAAGAGAAAGUCCGAAGGAAAAUCUGAAGGUUGCUCAAAGCAGAAAAAUGAUCCCAGAUCUGCAGCAUUGUGGCAAAAAGAGCGCACCGAAGAAAAGGCCUUCCUAACCAGUUGAACCUGAAAGUGAUUCUUCUGAUCAAGAUGAUCCUCCGCUCACGAGAGAAUAAAUUGAUGCAACUCUCUCUGAACAUGUGAAUGUCACUACAUCCACUGUUCUGCCUGAUCUCUGAGCAAGUGUUGUUCCAACUGCUCCUCCUCUGAAGAAUCCACUGAAGAGAAAGACCCCUGCAACCACUGUCACUAUGGUUGACAAAGUUAACACAACUCUUCAUCCUGAUGCAAUUGAUCUUCAGGAUUUGGUAGUUGAUGCCCCCGUCUGCACUGUCAAGCCAGGAGAAAAGCUUCCGAAGCAAAAGACGAAGCAAAUCAAAGCUCCUCCUGCUGAGCAAAAUGCCCCUAGAGCUAAAGUUGUGAAAGAGAAAGCUGCUGAAUUUGCUCCUCAAUUGACUCAACGUCUGGCAUAUUUGCUUCCGACCGAUCAAAGUGCAACACCAACUGCUCCUACUGCACAGGUUGCUGCACAGAAUCAAGAUUCACAUGCACCGCAUUAUUUCAAUCAUACAUUCAUCAUGGAGCAGCAAGACCGUUUUGUUGAAGAUUUGUUUGAUGGAGAAGUGGCAUCUUUGCCCAUUCCCUCUAAAGUCAUAGCUCAAGCUUCUGAUUUGGUCAGCGAUAUGAGAAAUGACUCGGUUGAAAUCAAUGAUCUCACAGCCCAACUCACCAAGCUUGACAACCGAAUGAAAGGUACGAAAUCCAAGUUUAUCAUCAGGCAACUUGAAGAGUCUUAUGUGGAUGUCAACAAGGCCUUGACUCUUCUUCGGCACAGGAGAUUGGGAUUUCAUUCGGAUCUAGAUCAAAUCAUUCACAAAAUCUGCCUUGAUCACCAAACCAAGGUUACUGGUUACAAUGAUCUAGUCAAGGGGCACAUAGAUCCGUCCAAGAAGAAGUAGAAGAAGAUAGCGAAUAAGAAUGCUCCUCCUCCUCUAGAUGUUGAUACACUGAGAGAAAAUUCUCCUGAACGAGAAAUUCCUUCGCCAACUCAUGAACCAGUUGCAGAUGUGUCUAAUUCGCCAAGGCCAACUGAAACAGUGCCUGUGGCUUCUCCUGUUCAUGAAGAAAAUCCUUCUCAGCACCAAGUGUCAGAAGAAGGUGAAAUUCCUCAGUCUAAACUACAAGCUUCUCCUGCCCAUAUUGAACCAAAUGAUUCGGUUCCUCCGUCUGCUCCUCAAACUACUCCUGUAGCAAAUCAACAACUGCCCCCGGUGGCUGAUAAGGAUUCAGUGCCUGAGUCAGCACCUGAACAAGUGUCCAAUCCAUCUCCUCUGAGAAUCUCUCAAUACUACAUGAACAACUUUAGAUAUUGAUCCCUCCGCAGCAAAAUCAAUUUCUGCUCAUCAUUCAAACUCAGUCAUCUAUGGUGAUGAAGUGAUAUCUAUUGAAGAUGAACUCAAGUACCCAUAUCCUCGUGAACAGCUGCCGCCGUUUUCAAUCGGCUUUGGCAUCAAAGCACCACUCUUCAAUCAAGACACUCAUCCAAAUUUCUUUCAAGAGAGUCCAUACAACAAGUCACGCACUUCAGAAUCUCCUUGGUUUUGGACUCAUGAACAGGACAUUUAUUACUCUCGGAUAUUAUAUGAUAGCCGCAAGAUUUUCCCUCAUAAGUUCCCGUACUUUGCUGCAGUGAAAAGCAUCAUUUGUUUCAACCAAGUAUUGCAAGACAUCGAAGACUUUGGCCUCACACAUGUGUUUGCAUAUCAGCAUCCAUGGAACAGAGAGAUCAUCCUGCAUGCCACUCUGUAUAUCUCCGGUGAUGCAUCUGACAGCUCAAAAUGGAUCAUGGAGUGGAUGACUGAAGGGAAAAGAAUCAAAUGAUCUGCAAUAGACUUUGUGUCUCAUUUUCAUUUCCCUUGGUUUGAACAUGGCCAGACUGAGAUUCGGGUUCAUAACAUUGAUGCAAUCUCUGAUGAAGAUUUCCGAUGCAUAAUGGAUGAAGAGAAAAUCUGUGACUACAAUGGUCCUCCUCCGCCUGAGCAUUUGACAUUCAAUAAUCAUUCGCUUUACCAUAUCCUAACUUAUACCCUUUGUCCGCUGGCUGGGAUGAAUACUGACAACGCUAUCUCUAGUAUUCUUCGAAACACCGUCCAUGCCAUCUCUCAAGGGUUCAUAUUCGAUGUUGAAGAUAUGUUCAUGUGCAUUUUGAUGGAUUCAACUCAGCACCCGAACACUAUCAAAGGUUUUGCGCCCUGGAUUCAGUAAGUGGUUGACUAUGCAAUGAAGACCGGAUAUCUUGCAAAAGUCAGUCAUAAGGGCUUCACUCCUCCAGUUCGUGAUACAAUAAAAAUCAUGGAAGAUUUUUCCUCGGGAAAAGCACCAGUUUCAAGCCCUCCUGAUUAUCACAACACCUUCAAUCAACCCAGCUGCCUCAGCAUGAUCGUCAGGCCAACAAUCAACCUCCUUCACAUCUGGAAGUGAGCCUGCGCACCCAAAAAUUGCUGCUGAAGCAUAUGGCUGAGGUUCGCCAAUUGAAAGAGUACCUAGCUGCCGAACUAAAUGCAAUCCACAACCGACCAAAGUUGUGAACAUGACCACAACAGAAAACAAGAAGCAUCUCUGGAAAUUUCUUCAGAAAUUCUUUUCAAAGAAGCAAUUGAGCCACUCUCAUCUCAAAGAAGUCUAUGAGUAUAUUGAUCAAGGGUUUUCAGCUGAAGAUUUUCAUAACUGCAGUACUCCGCCUUUGCCAGCUCGUGAACCUACAACGAAUUUACUUUGGAUUCAGCUACGCAAAUUGCUCGACGAAUCAGAAGCCACAUCGCCUACUGAAAAACCUGCUGAAGGAAAUACUCUAUCUUGCAAGACUCAAGAGGCUGAUCUCAAUGUGACUUCCUCCUCUUAGCCACAAGCCAGUCUUCAAGGAUCUGCUGCUGCUGGUGAAGAUGAAGAUGUUCCAGCCACCUCCAAGUCAGAAACUUCUUCAAGCAGUUAUUCGGGCGAUGCCUAAGAGGGAUUCAUAAUUCACCUAUUUUCGCACUCAUGUUUCGUCACCUUUUUUACACUAGUUGACAAAAAGGGGGAGAAUUACAUCGGGAGUUUCGAUAGAUUUUCUCUGUUGGAUUUGGUCUCUGUGUUUAUUUGAGUAUCUUUUGAGACUAUUUGUGACUUUAUAUGUCCUCUGAUUAUGUGCUCUGAUGUAAAACUUCUAUUAUGGGUAGUAAUAUUAAUAACCCCGCCUGCUGCACUAUAUUCUCUCGAAGUAUUUGUUUUGCAGGUGAAACUUUUGUUAGAAGUCAUGAUAGAUUGCACUAUAUUCUCGUUGGAUCAUUUAUCAUUAGUGUGAAUCAUUACUUCGAAUGAUUGAAAAAUCCUCCACUUACUUUAAUGAAUAGCAAGGAAUCACAUUGUAUAUAAAUUGACCCUGCAUACAUUCAUGGGAAGUACAUUUCAUCAUCGAGUCAAGUAACGCAAGUUCACUCAUGUUCGAUUUACAUUUAACUUCUCUAUCUUCAAUUUGAUGAUUAUCUGUUUUGUCAACAACCGUCCAAAAGGGGGAGAUUGUUGGUGCAAUGAUAGGCCCCUUAUGUUUUUGGAGUUUGUUGGCAUAUACAAUGUGGGACUUAUGUGUUUGCUAGUGCACACAGAGUAACAGGUCCCUGAAGUAUCGAGGAGUUUGAUGCAACCAUCGAAGAUAAUCUCCCUGCCGUGCAAUGAAGGUUAUCAACGAAGAUGAAGCUAAAAAACUAACCCGUAAAAAUUGCUGAAUUUGAGCAAUUGGUUCAGUGUCUGUUCAAAGCAUAUUACCGCGUUCGAGGAAGAACUAAAACGAAGUGAAUAUGUAGAAUUUGUUUCGUUGUUCUUCUUCUUUCUUUGAGUCAUAGGACCAUCGUACUAUUACGAGCGGUGGAAAGUUCAAAGCUUUGAUUCUCUGAUACUAAACCCAAAUCCUAUGAAAGUUGUGAGAGAAAUCUCUUUGUGCUCGGAGCAAAUACUUGCCAGGAAGAGACUGUGAUCUUCUUCGCUACGAGAGAUUUUCCUCGGAUCGGGGAGUUAGCAUUGCUUGUUCCUCAAGUAAUGUUACCGUUGCUCCAAAAUCCGACCGUUUUGAACAUGUCGGUUGGCCAUUGGCUAGACUUCAUGUCCAAAAUGGUCAUUUCCCAUCAGGGAAGGCUGCGGCUAUAAAUAGCCACCCCGUGCUGGCUUUGUCUGGUGGCUGCUCCGUUUGAAUUUUGAAAAGAUUGUUUAGCAACCCACUCUCUGAGUGAUUUGAGUUUAAAAUCCACCGAGAGAAAAACCCCUAGAGCCGAAGAAUUAGAUAGUGGUUCAACAUUACUAGAAUCUAAGUUUAGUACACUCCGCCUAUUACUCUUGAGAGCUGCAAACUCUCUAGACGGUUAGGUGUAAAUUUCUUCAAAGACCAAGAGCAAUUGUGGUUCUCGAAGAAGAAGUCUGUAAAGGUUCGAAGAUCGCCUUCACGUAUCUACCACGAGUGAUCAACAUCGGUUGACGAAUCAAUUGUCGAGGAGAAUAGGGUGAAGAGAGUUUAUCUUCCGUGUUAAGUCAUCGAGCAUCUUCGGUUACCUCUGUCACCCAUAUUUAACUUCAAUGCACUUCCAUUCGUAUGAUUCUCUUCAAUGCUUGCAUUAGUUUCCUUUCGGUACUUUGCCUCAGUUCACUGUAGUCUCUUUUUACUUCAUUCCGCUGCUGGGUUCUGAGAGAUUUAAGUUUUCCGAAGAAAACUGAAAAUCCCAUUCACCCCCUGACGUUGUCCUCGACUAGGGGGUACUCACCACGUCAUUUCCCGACCACCUGGAUCGGGCCGAGGACCCCCAUGAAGGUUCACUCAUGGGCCACUUCGGGCAGCCCAUGAGGUAUACAAGGAGGUUUCCACAAGACUUGGCGCACAUGCCGAGGACUCUCCUAAAACCCUAGACCUCCGGUGUGUUAUAUAAACCGAGGCUUGGCUAGUUAAUAGAUGAUCGACUAUUCAUUAGAACAAUAUCGUGGUAGAUACAUGUACUCUGUACAAUCCCCCCAUAUGAAUACAAUGAAAAGCAUGACGUAGGGUAUUAUCUCUUUGAGCGAGCCUGAACAUGGGUAAAAUCCCGUGUCCGUGAUACCAUCGCUCCAAGACGCCUAUCUUAGGACCCCGACUACGAGAUAUGCCCGACAUAGAACCGACACCCCCUCUGGUAGACAUACUUCGUUCCUACAUGUAGUCACAAUGUCUCAAGAAAACAAAAAUUGUGUGAUUUUUUCCAAUACUAAUAAUAAUGAUUUUAUUAGUACCGAUUGCUCCUCCUGCCGCUAGUGCGGAGUCUUUUGAUAUUAAUACCGCUUUGUUGAAUCUUGUUAUAAAAGAUCAAUUUUCUGGUACUCCUAAUGAGGAUGCCGCGUACCAUCUAAACACUUUUGUAUAAUUAUGUGAUAUGAAAAAGAAAAAAAUUGUGGAAAAUGAUACUGUGAAGUUGAAAUUGUUUCCUUUAUCUUUGCCGGAUCAUGCAAAAUCUGGUUUUCUUCUUUGCCUCGCAGUAGUAUCGAUUCUUGGAAUAAGUGCAAAGAUGCUUUUAUUACUAAGUAUUUUCCUCCCGCAAAAAUUAUUUCCCUUAGAAAUCAAAUCAUCAAUUUUGAGCAACUUGACCAUGAAUAUGUUGCACAAUCUUGGGAAAGAAUGAAAUUAAUGCUAAGAAAUUGUCCUACUCAUGGUUUAAAUCUUUGGAUGAUUAUAAUUUUUUAUGCGGGAUUGCACUUUGGAUGAUUAUAGAGGUAAUUUUAAUCCUAGGCCUUUUCCUGGAAUUUCCUCUAAUAAUUAUGGCAACUCCCAUGGUAAUUCUUCUUAUAAUAAUAAUAGGAACCCCUCUGAUCUUGAGAGUAAUAUUAAAGAAUUUAUAAAUGCGCAGUUUUUAUCAACACUACGAUAGAAGAAAAAUUGAGUAAACUUGAUGAUAUGUCUAGUAGCAUUCAUAGAAUUUUGCAUGGUGUACAAAAUAUCAAGAUUAAUUUUUUUUUCACCUAAGGUUGAUAUUAAUGUGUCAAUUAAAGCUUUAUAUGUUUCUAUGGAUGAAAGUAAGAAAAGAACCGCUGUGCUUAGAGCUAAAAGAGAAUUUUUAGAAAGAGCUUUUUCUACCGAUUGUUUUCGCCAUAAUGAUGAAGAUCUUAAUAUGAUUGGUGUUUAUUCUAUUGAUUCCUUGUUUAGUAAUAUUAAACCUGAUGAUAUGGGGACUGAAGAAGAGUCAACUUUAGCUAGAAGGCGUCCCCAUAAUUUGGAGGGUGAAAAUCUUGUUGAAAAAAAUAUAUCAUAAAAGUGGGUUUGGAGAGGUCAAAACUUUAACUAGUGAUGUGCCCACUCUUUUGGAUUACAAAGAUUUUAGUUAUGAUAGUUGAUCUUUGAUUGAAUGUAUUUCUUUGUUACAAUCCAUGAUAAAUUCACCUAAUGCCUACGAUCAAAAUAAAGCUUUUACUAAACAUAUUUUAGAAGCGGUGAUGAAAGCUUUAGAAGAAAAGUUGGAAUUAGAGAUUUGAAUUCCUAGAAAAUUAUAUGAUGAAUGGGAAGAUACCAUUAAAGUCAAGAUUAAAAAUUAUGAGUGCUUUGCUUUCUGUGAUUUGGGUGAUAGUGUUUCCACAAUUCCGAAAUCUCUAUGUGAUGUGCUAUGUUUUACCAAGUUGAAAGAUUGUUCUCUUAAUUUUCACUUGGCAAAUUCUACUUAAAAACCUUUGACAUGCAUAAAUGAUCUUCUUAUUCUUGCAAAUAGGAACUAUGUGCCAUAGAUUUUAUUAUUCUUGAUAUUGAUUGCAAUCCAUCUUGUCCCAUCAUACUUGGUAGACCGUUUGUACGAACUAUAGGUGCCGUGAUUGAUAUGAAAGAAGGGAAUAUUAAAUUUCAGUUUCCCUUGAGAAAGGGUGUAACACCCCGGAUGUAACUUUCCAUAUUUGUAACUCCAACUCUUGCCAUUUUCGGCUAUGUGUUAUGAUAUUCCCUCCGUGGUUGGGUUUCGUCUUUGUUUUGCAUUUUGUUCUUGUCAUGCAUUUCAUAUCAUGUCAUCAUGUGCAUCUCAUUUGCAUACGUGUUCGUCUCAUGCAUCCGAGCAUUUUCCCCGUUGUCCGUUUUGCAAUCCGACACUCCCACAUGCACCGGCGCACCCCUCAUGUCUCUUUUCGUGAGCGGGUGUUAAACGUUCUCGGAAUGGACCGAGUCUUGCCAAGUGGCCUUGGUACACCACCGGUAGACCACAUGUCAAGUUUCGUUCCAUUUGGAGGUCGUUUGAUGCUCCAACGGUUAACCGGGUAACCGCAAAAGCCAUUGGUGUGUUGCAGCCAAACACCCCUCCAAAACAGCCCAAUAACCCAUCUAAGUCACUUCCAUGCUCUCCGUCGUCGGAUCACGAUCGUGUGGGCGAAAACCGCACUCCAUUUGGAGCCUCCUAGCUCCCUCUACCUAUAAAUAUGUGCACCCUCCUCCAAAUCCGUGCCCCGAAACCGUAGCCCGCUCCCUCUCCGCCGCCGGACACGUCCGGUCCGGUCGGACGAAACGCCGCCGCCGCCCCGAGCCAACGGGCACGCGCCACGUGGCCCCGCCCGCGUCUCCGCNNNNNNNNNNNNNNNNNNNNNNNNNNNNNNNNNNNNNNNNNNNNNNNNNNNNNNNNNNNNNNNNNNNNNNNNNNNNNNNNNNNNNNNNNNNNNNNNNNNNNNNNNNNNNNNNNNNNNNNNNNNNNNNNNNNNNNNNNNNNNNNNNNNNNNNNNNNNNNNNNNNNNNNNNNNNNNNNNNNNNNNNNNNNNNNNNNNNNNNNNNNNNNNNNNNNNNNNNNNNNNNNNNNNNNNNNNNNNNNNNNNNNNNNNNNNNNNNNNNNNNNNNNNNNNNNNNNNNNNNNNNNNNNNNNNNNNNNNNNNNNNNNNNNNNNNNNNNNNNNNNNNNNNNNNNNNNNNNNNNNNNNNNNNNNNNNNNNNNNNNNNNNNNNNNNNNNNNNNNNNNNNNNNNNNNNNNNNNNNNNNNNNNNNNNNNNNNNNNNNNNNNNNNNNNNNNNNNNNNNNNNNNNNNNNNNNNNNNNNNNNNNNNNNNNNNNNNNNNNNNNNNNNNNNNNNNNNNNNNNCCCGCCGGUCGCCACCGCCGCCUCCGCUCCCUCCCCGCCGCGCCCGGUCGCGGGACCCGCGCCGACGUGCCCCGACGCCGCCCCGACUCCGGCGCCUUCCCCGGCUCCAACUCCGGCGAGAUCCGCCGCCGCCUCGAUAUCCGCGCGCGGUCAAACCCUAGAUCGAGGUCGUUUUCCCCCUCUGUUUUCUGCUAAUUCCCGAUUAUAUCGCAUGAUGUUGCUCAGUUCGUCAUGGCAUAUCUCACUGCAUACGGCUCCGUUUUGCGUGCAUGAUAUAUCAAAACGUUCAUCACGAGAUGCGCUUCAUUUUGUUCCAUUGUGCCAUGCUCGUUUGAUUUCAUCUUGAUGCCCAAAUCUCUGGUGCAAGAGUGCUAUAUGUUGUUUACUGCUGUUACUUAUCAGAACUUGAUGUUUUGUUAUUUUUGUUGCAUUUGAUGUGUGCAUCUUAUGGGCAUGAGCUCUAGAGGUGUUUUGAUCUAUGCCAUGCCGUCUUUAUAGAGAUUUAUGCCAUGUAUUUUUGUGAUCUAUGUGGUGACUAGCACAAGCAUGCAAACUAGGUUUCGUGAUGUUUCUGUUUUCAGGGACUUAGGAUUAUGCCAUGUCUUUUACUGCUGUUAUUUUGUUGCCAUGUAUCCAUGUGUCUACAGUGAGAUCCAUACUUCUUUUGAGUAUAUUCAGUAAGGAUAGUUUGUAGAUAUAGUUGUGGUCUAUCCAUCCACGCCCCUGUUUGUAAUUUUGGAGUGCCCUAGCAUGUCGCAAUCUUGCUCUACUUUUGCUAUAAAAUGUUCCUGCCAGAAUGUUAACAUGAUAUUCAAUUUUGCCAAGGUUGUUGUAGUUGAUCCAUACAUUCUAUGAACUUGCUCUUGCCAUGUUUAGCUUCAUGAACAUGCCAUCUUGCUGUAGGUAUGCUUGUUUUGUCAUGAAUUGCUAUGUGAUGAGUGAAUCAAGCUCACAAAGAUGCCUUCAUAAUGCUGUUACUGCCAUGCUCUGUUUUCUGCCAAGUCUGAAACCUGUUAACGAAACUUGCUAUGUUUACAUGGGUGCCAUCAUAUCUUCUGUGCCUUUUUGGCUCAUUACCAGUAAGGAACGUUUGUUCUAUGAAUUUAUUAGUAUCUUUCCAUGCCUUGUUUUGCUAUGAUAAGUUCCUGUAGCAUGUGUUUUGCUUGCUCUGAACAUUGCUACCUGAUGCUGUUUCAGCCAUGUUUAGUAUUUUCACCAAGUCUGUGAAGCUGAUAUUCUUUUGCACUUUUGCCAUGCUUGUUUGAGCCUGUUAUUGUGUGAUCUAGCCAUAGCUCAGUGUUCAUCGUUUGUCUAGCAUCUCCUGUAGAUCACUGUCAUAUGCUUUUUUGCUAUGUUGGGUUGCUGUAGUAUAGUUUCUUGAUGUAAUCUAAGUGUUAUCCUACUGUUAAUCGCAGAUUUAUGUCAUUCUUGUUUUGCUUGCCAUUUGCAAACCGUGCAUCCGUUUCCGGUGAUCUUUAUAUCGAUUUCGUCCGAAAUCAUCUCAUCUUUCCAGUGGCAUACUUGGUUUGCCAAGUUGCUGCCUUGUUCAUCCUUUUUUUCCGGAGCACGCAUACGCAUCGCAUAUCAUAUCUCGCAUAUCAUGCAUGUAUUGCAUCAUGUUGCUUGUGCAUUUCCCGUGAUUGAUUGUGGUUCCAUUGCUUGUGUUCUUGCUGUGGGUAGAGCCGGGAGAUGAGUUCGUGAAUGAGGAACCUGUUGAGUACGCUUACGAGGAUCAAGUUUUCGACAACUCUGAGAACCUUGCAGGCAAGAUGACCAUACCCUCGAAAUCACUUCUAUCUUUGCUUUGCUAGUUGUUCGUUCUAUUGCCAUGCUGCGCUACCUACCACUUGCUAUAUCAUGCCUACCAUAUUCCCAUGUCAAACCUCUAACCAUCCUUUCAUAGCAAACCGUUGUUUGGCUGUUACCGCUUUUGCUCAGCCCUUCUUAUAGCGUUGCUAGUUGCAGGUGAAGUGAAGUUGGUUCCAUGUUGGAACAUGGAUAUUUUGGCAUAUCACAAUAUCUUUUAUUUAAUUAAUGCAUCUAUAUAUUUGGUAAAGGGUGGAAGGCUCGGCCUUAUGCCUGGUGUUUUGUUCCACUCUUGCCGCCUAGUUUCCGUCAUACCGGUAUUAUGUUCCUUGAGUUUGCGUUUCUUAUGCGGUUGGGUGAUUUAUGGGACCCCCUUGACAGUUCGCCUUGAAUAAAACUCCUCCAACAAGGCCCAACCUUGGUUUUACCAUUUGCCUACCUAAGCCUUUUCCCCUUGGGUUUUCGCGAGCCCGAGGGUCAUCUUUAUUUUGACCCCCCCGGGCCAGUGCUCCUUCGAGUGUUGGUCCGAACCGAGUAGACUGCGGGGCCACCUCAGGGAAACUUGAGGCCUGGUUUUAGUCGUAGGAUGUCUCAUCCAUUGUGCCCUGAGAACGAGAUAUGUGCAGCUCCUAUCGGGAUUUGUCGGCACAUCGGCGGCUUUGCUGGUCUUGUUUUACCAUUGUCGAAAUGUCUUGUAAAUCGGGAUUCCGAGACUGAUCGGGUCUUCCCGGGAGAAGGUUUAUCCUUCGUUGACCGUGAGAGCUUCUAAUGGGCUAAGUUGGGACACACCUGCAGGGUAUUAUCUUUCGAAAGCCGUGCCCGCGGUUAUGAGGCUGAUGGGAAUUUGUUAAUGUCCGGUUGUAGAGAACUUGACACUUGACUUAUUUAAAAAUACAUCCACCGUGUGUGUAGCCGUGAUGGUCUCUUUUCGGCGGAGUCCGGGAAGUGAACACGGUUUGAGUUAUGUAUGAACGUAAGUAGUUUCAGGAUCACUUCUUGAUCAUUUCUAGCUUCGUGACCAUUGCAUUGCUUCGCUUCUCGCUCUCAUUUGCGUAUGUUAGCCACCAUAUGCUAGUGCUUGCUGCAGCUCCACCUCAUUACCCCAUCCUUUUUCCUACAAGCUUAAAUAGUCUUGAUCUCGCGGGUGUGAGAUUGCUGAGUCCUCAUGACUCACAGAUUCUACCAAAACAGUUGCAGGUGCCGACGAUGCCAGUGCAGAUGACGCAACCAAGCUCAAGUGGGAGUUCGACGAGGAACGUGAUCGUUACUAUGUUUCGUUUCCUGAUGAUCAGUAGUGGAGCCCAGUUGGGACGAUCGGGGAUCUAGCAUUUGGGGUUAUCUUAUUUUCAUUUGGAUUUGACCGUAGUCGGUCAAUGUGUGGAUUUUGGAUGAUGUAUGAAUUAUUUUAUGUAUUGUGUGAAGUGGCGAUUGUAAGCCAACUCUCGUUAUCCCAUUCUUGUUCAUUACAUGGGAUUGUGUGAAGAUGACCCUUCUUGCGACAAUACCUACAAUGCGGUUAUGCCUCUAAGUCAUGCCUCGACACGUGGGCGAUAUAGCCGCAUCGUGGGCGUUACAAGUUGGUAUCAGAGCCAUCCCGACUUAGGAGUCCCCUGCUUGAUCGAAUCGCUAGUGUUGUUGAGUCUAGAACAAAAAUGUUUUGAGUCUUAGGAUUAUAUAUAUCGGAGAGUAGGAUUCUUUUUACUCCUCAGUCCCUUCGUCGCUCUGGUGAGGCCUCCUGACGUAGAAGUUUUGACUUUUCUCUCCUCAAAUUUCACUAAUUUUUUUAGGAUCACGCGGGUAUCUUAGAAUCGUUCCGAUGGUUUUGUGACGAGAACAUUGUUCUUGGUGCCUCCUGACAUUUAGGGGUUGUGGCAGUGUCCCGGGGAGUUGAGCUGCGAGGUGUUGUCGUCACAAUUUUAUGGUUGCAGUUCUGGAAUACCUGAGUUUCGCCGACAUCGAAAAUCUCUUUUAUGCAGUUGUUGGUGAGAUCACCUCGACGCCACCCAGUACUGGGGCGGGAGUUCGGGAGUAUUGCCAUAACUUGUAUAACGGAUGCUUUUUGAAGGUUGAGGUACACGAUUUCCGAAGGUUUCUUGGUUAUGUGUUGACGGAUGGAUACAGCUGGAUCUAGGGAUUGCUAGUUUGGGUGAUAUAUUUUGUGUCCCUUGUAUCCCCAACACCAGAUUGCAUAACCAGAAAGUUUAGGGAGUUUAUAGGUGGGAUUCAAGUAGCUCUUAGCAUUUCUUCCCGCAGAUAUUUGGUUUGUGAUUGGGUAAUCCUUACCAUUUAUUUGUUCCAGUUGCACCUUGUUAUUUUAUUCAUCAACCCCUUAUCAAGUGGCUUCUCACCUUAUGGAAGUGUGAUGAUUUACUAUGGAAUUCAUUCGCUCAUCCUCGUUCAAAUGUUUAUUGUGAAGACUAUAUGUUGCAAUUUCUAUCCGUUGAUUCAACUUGUCUAUCUGUCUAUCAAGAUGCUAACAGAUGUCACCCUCUUCAGGAUGGCUCCGCCAACGCGUCAGAAUCCGGAACGCAAUGAUGGGAGUCAGGCGAACCCUCCGCCACCACCUCCGCCUCCGGAGGCAUGGCAAGCUAUCAUGGUAGCCACCAACGCCAAUGCUCAGAUGAUUUUGCAACUCUUGCAAGAGCGUACCCAAGGGCAAGGCAAUCAAGGAAAUCAAGGCCAAGGUAACAAUCAGCCUCACUUCGCUACCCUCAACCAGUUCCUCGCUAAUCAGCCGAAGUCUUUCAGCUACUGUGCCGAGGCCACAGACGCCGAUGAUUGGCUCGUGGACAUCAACAAGCAUUUUGAAUGUAGCAUGGUCAGGCCUGAGGACUUUGUCAAGUUCGCUUCUUUUCAACUCAAGGAUCAAGCUGCCGAGUGGUAUCAACAAUACAAAGAUUCCAGAGGAGGUCGUGUGAUUACCUGGGAUGAUUUCCGCCGAGACUUCAAAGCUCACCACAUUCCACAAAGUGUUGUUGAGAGCAAGCGUGAGGAGUUCCGCAAUCUCAAGCAAGGCAGCAUGUCCGUGUAUCAAUACAAUACCCAGUUUCAGAAACUCGCUCGCUUUGCUGAGCAAGACGUUCCUGAUGAAAAGAGCAUGAUCUAUCAAUUCAGAGGUGGCCUCAGAGAAGAUCUGCAAUUACCUCUCGUGCUUUUUGAGCCGACCAAGUAUGAUGAUUUCUACAACAUGGCUCUGAAGCAAGAGGCUGCUCAGCUCAAGUGUGAGGCUUCUGAGAAGAGAGUCAGGGACACAGUUCAGUCUUCUUCUUCCUCACUAGUGGCCGCUAAGGAACAGAAGUUCUGGUUGCCUCCUCCUCCUCCGUUUCGUCAGCCUUUCCAGCAGAAGAACAAAGGUGGCCAUGGAUCUUCCCACCCACCCAACCCUGGCUAUCAGAACAAGUCCCAGAAUCAAGCUCCAAAGUCGAAUGCUCCUUAUCAUCGUCCACUCUCAGAGGUGACUUGCAACAAGUGUCAGCAAAAAGGUCACUAUGCUAACAAGUGCUUCAACCAAAGGCGCCUUCCGCCUCCUCCUCCUAUGAGAUCUUCCAGCAAUGCAGUGGUCAAGCAUAAUCCCAAAUGAACAUGAUGAAUGCAGCUCAAGCGGAGGAAUCUACUAUUGUGAUAAUGGGUAAUCUCUCAGUUAAUGAUAUUCCUGCAAAAGUUUUAUUUGAUACUGGUGCAUUGCAUUCUUUCACGUCAUACCCAUUUGCAUCGAAGCACAAUGUUGACACAGAGAUUUUAUCCAAAGUUAUGCAAGUUGUUUCUCCGAGAAAGCUUAUGACUUCUAGUUUGGUUGCUCCCGAUGUCUCUAUCAACUUGGGCAACUAUAAAUUUCUGUCUUCUCUAAUUGUUCAUGGUGACUCGGAUAUUGAUCUAAUUCUCGGGAUGGACUGGCUUUCUAAGCACAAGGCUCAACUUGAUUGUGCUGCCAGGGAAAUUCAAUUGACACACUCUUCUAAGGAUGUGAUCAUCUAUGCCGCUCGUGAUGAGACCAUUCGGUUAUUUUCUCUCAAUGAGAAGGGCGAGCUAGACGCAAUUUCUCAAAUUCCAGUCGUUUGUGAGUACCAAGAUGUCUUUCCAGAAGAGCUUCCGGGUAUGCCUCCUCACCGGCUAGUUGAGUUCGUUAUCGAUCUUGAGCCCGGCACUAAACCCGUUUGCAAGCGUCCUUACAAGCUUGGACCCAAGGAGCUGAAGGAAUUGAAGAAACAGCUCGAUGAACAAGAGCGUCUGGGUCUGAUCAGACCGAGUUCAUCUCCAUGGGGUUGUGGUGUUCUUUUUGUCCAGAAGAAGGAUGGCACGGACCGACUUUGUGUCGACUACCGUCCAUUGAACAAGAAGACAAUCAAGAACAAGUAUCCACUUCGCAACAUCAAUGAGCUAUUCGAGCAAAUUAAAGGUGCUAAAGUAUUCUCCAAGCUUGACCUUCGAAUGGGUUAUCAUCAGAUUCGCAUUCGUGAAGAAGAUAUUCCCAAGACAGCAUUCAGAACAAGCUUUGGUUCUUACGAAUAUACUGUCAUGUCUUUCGGCCUUGUCAAUGCUCCUCCAACAUUCUCUCGAAUGAUGAAUUUCAUCUUCAACCCCUAUACCAAUGAAUUCGUCCUGGUGUAUCUCGAUGAUAUCUUGGUCUUGUCCAAGAAUAAGAAGGAUCAUGCCAAACAUUUGCGAUUGGUGCUCGACAAGCUCAGAGAGUAUCAAUUCUAUGCGAAGUUUUCCAAAUGUGAGUUUUGGCUUGAUGAAGUUCUUUACCUUGGUCAUAUCAUCUCUGCCAAGGGCAUUGCUGUUAAUCCCGAGAAGGUGUCUGCAAUUGUGAAUUGGGAACCUCCUCAGAAUGUCAAGCAGCUCCGCAGUUUUCUUGGUCUUGCAAGCUAUUGCCGAAGAUUCGUUGAGAAUUUCUCUAAGGUUGCAAAGCCUCUUUCCAACCUCCUCCAGAAGCAUGUGAAGUAUGUCUGGACUCUUGAGUGUGAAGUUGCUUUCAACACUCUCAAAGAGAAACUCGUCACAGCUCCUGUCUUAACUCCUCCUGACGAAUCCAAGCCAUUCGAAGUUUUCUGUGAUGCUUCUCUUCAAGGUCUCGGUGCUGUGUUAAUGCAAGAGAAGAAAGUUGUGGCCUAUACCUCUCGUCAGUUGAAGCCCAACGAAAAGAACUACCCCACUCACGAUCUUGAGUUGGCGGCAGUUGUCCAUGCAUUAAUAACAUGGAGACAUCUCUUGUUGGGAAGAAAAGUGGACAUAUUCACCGAUCACAAGAGUCUCAAGUACAUCUUCACUCAGCCCAACCUCAACCUCAGGCAAACUCGAUGGGUCGAAAUGAUUCAAGAGUACAAUCCGAGUAUUGAAUAUACUCCAGGCAAGGCCAAUGUCAUUGCAGAUGCUUUGAGGAGGAAGGCUUAUUGCAACAGUUUAAUCCUCAAGCCCUUCCAACCGGACCUUUGUGAAGAUUUCCGCAAGCUGAAUCUCCAAGUUGUUCCUCAAGGCUUUCUUGCCAACCUCCUAGUCUCUCCUACUUUGGAAGAUCAAAUUCGUGAGGCACAACUCCUGGAUACCAUGGUGAAGAAGGUGAAACAUGGUAUCGACAAGGGUCUUUCCAAAUACAAGUGCUAUCGCAUUGAUGACAGAGACACUUUAUUCUUCGAGGACCGGAUUGUGGUUCCUAAAGGUGAUCUAAGGAAAGUCAUUAUGAACGAGGCACACAAUUCUCUUCUUUCCAUUCAUCCUGGAAGUACGAAGAUGUACCAUGACCUCAAGCAGUCGUAUUGGUGGACUCGAAUGAAGCGAGAAAUAGCUCAGUUCGUGAAUGAAUGUGAUGUCUGUCGAAGGGUGAAAGCAGAACACCAACGACCAGCUGGUCUCCUCCAACCUCUUGCUAUUCCAGAAUGGAAGUUUGAUCAUAUAGAAAUGGACUUCGUGACUGGAUUUCCAAAUUCCAAACGCGGAAAUGAUGCUAUCAUCGUUGUCAUCGACAAGCUUACUAAAGUGGCUCAUUUCCUUCCAAUCAAAGAAUCUAUCACAGCAGCUCAGUUGGCAGAGCUAUACACCUCCAAGAUUGUCUCCUUGCACGGCAUUCCACAAUUGAUAUCUUCAGAUCGUGGAAGCAUCUUCACUUCUAAGUUCUGGGACUCCUUCCAGAAAGCCAUGCGCACCAACAUUCGCUUCAGCAUAGUUUUCCAUCCUCAAACUAGUGGCCAAGUCGAGUGAGUCAAUCAAAUCCUUGAAGAUAUGCUCAGGGCUUGUGUCAUUUCCUUUGGCAUGAAGUGGGAAGAUUGUCUUCCAUAUGCCGAAUUCUCCUACAACAACAGCUUCCAAGCGAGUUCGGGCAAGGCCCCAUUCGAGAUUCUAUAUGGUAGAAAGUGUCGUACUCCUCUCAAUUGGUCAGAGACUGGUGAACGCCAACUUCUUGGCAAUGACUUAAUCACAGAGGCUGAAGAAAUGUGUAAAGUCAUCCAUGAAAAUCUCAAUGCCGCGCAAUCGCGCCAGAAGAGUUACUAUGAUAGCAAGCACCGUGACUUGGCUUUCGAGAUCGGAGACCAUGUCUACCUCCGCGUCUCUCCAAUGAAAGGCACUCGUCGAUUCGGUAUCAAAGGGAAGCUUGCCCCUAGAUACGUGGGUCCUUUAAAGAUCAUUGGCAAAAGAGGCGACCUCGCCUAUCAACUUGAGCUUCUCUCCAACUUCGCGAACGUGCACGAUGUGUUCCACGUGUCACAGCUUCGCAAGUGCUUCAAGACUCCUGAGCGCACCAUCAACUUCGAAGAGAUUGACCUCCAAGAAGAUCUGUCUUAUCAUGAGCACUCCAUUGCUAUUCUUGAAGAAACUGAGCGCAAGACUCGCAACAAGUCAAUCAAAUUCCUAAAAGUGAAGUGGUCGCACCACUCCGACCGAGAAGCCACCCGGGAGCGUGAGGACCACCUCCGUUCCGAAUAUCCGGAGUUCUUUCAGUCCUAGAUCUCGGGACGAGAUCCUCUCGUAGUGGUGGAGUGUUGUAACACCCCGGAUGUAACUUUCCAUAUUUGUAACUCCAACUCUUGCCAUUUUCGGCUAUGUGUUAUGAUAUUCCCUCCGUGGUUGGGUUUCGUCUUCGUUUUGCAUUUUGUUCAUGUCAUGCAUUUCAUAUCAUGUCAUCAUGUGCAUCUCAUUUGCAUACGUGUUCGUCUCAUGCAUCCGAGCAUUUCCCCGUUGUCCGUUUUGCAAUUCGACAAUCCCACAUGCACCGGCGCACCCCUCUUGUCUCUUUUCGUGAGCGGGUGUUAAAUGUUCUCGGAAUGGACCGAGUCUUGCCAAGUGGCCUUGGUACACCACCGUUAGACCACCUGUCAAGUUUCGUUCCAUUUGGAGGUCGUUUGAUGCUCCAACGGUUAACCGGGUAACCGCAAAAGCCUUUGGUGUGUUGCAGCCAAACACCCCUCCAAAACAGCCCAAUAACCCAUCUAAGUCACUUCCAUGCUCUCCGUCGUCGGAUCACGAUCGUGUGGGCGAAAACCGCACUUCAUUUGGAGCCUCCUAGUUCCCUCUACCUAUAAAUAUGUGCACCCUCCUCCAAAUCCGGGCCUCGAAACCCUAGCCCGUUCCUCUCCGCCGCCGGACACGUCCGGUCCGGUCGGACGAGAUGCGGCCGCCGCCCCGAGCCAACGGGCACGCGCCACGUGGCCCCGCCCGCGUCCCCNNNNNNNNNNNNNNNNNNNNNNNNNNNNNNNNNNNNNNNNNNNNNNNNNNNNNNNNNNNNNNNNNNNNNNNNNNNNNNNNNNNNNNNNNNNNNNNNNNNNNNNNNNNNNNNNNNNNNNNNNNNNNNNNNNNNNNNNNNNNNNNNNNNNNNNNNNNNNNNNNNNNNNNNNNNNNNNNNNNNNNNNNNNNNNNNNNNNNNNNNNNNNNNNNNNNNNNNNNNNNNNNNNNNNNNNNNNNNNNNNNNNNNNNNNNNNNNNNNNNNNNNNNNNNNNNNNNNNNNNNNNNNNNNNNNNNNNNNNNNNNNNNNNNNNNNNNNNNNNNNNNNNNNNNNNNNNNNNNNNNNNNNNNNNNNNNNNNNNNNNNNNNNCUCCGUCCGCCCUGGCGUCCGCCGCCGCCUCCUCUCCCUCGCCGUCGCGCCCGGUCGCGGGACCCGCGCCGUCCCGCGCCGACGUGCCCCGACGCCGCCCCGACUCCGGCGCCUUCCCCGGCUCCAACUCCGGCGAGAUCCGCGGCCGCCUCGAUAUCCGCGCGCGGUCAAACCCUAGAUCGAGGUCGUUUUCCCUCUCUGUUUUCUGCUAAGUCCCGAUUAUAUCGCAUUAUGUUGCUCUGUUCAUCAUGGCAUAUCUCACUGCAUACUGCUCUGUUUUGCGUGCAUAUCUCACUGCAUACUGCUCCGUUUUGCGUGCAUGAAAUAUUCAUCACGAGAUGCUAUUCAUUUUGUUCCAUUCUGCCAUGCUUGUUUGAGGUCAUCUUGAUGCCCAAAUCUCUGGUGCAAGAGUGCUAUAUGAUGUUUACUGCUGUUACUUAUCAGAACUUGAUGUUUUGUUAUUUUUGUAGCAUUUGAUGUGUGCAUCUUAUGGGCAUGAGCUCUACAGGUGUUUUGAUCUAUGCCAUGCCAUCUUUACAGAGGUGUAUCUCAUGUAUUUUUGUGAUCUAUGUGGCGACUAGCACAAGCAUGCAAACUAGGCUUCGUGAUAUUUCUGUUUUCAGGGACUUAGGAUUUUGCUGUCUUUUACUGCUGUUAUUUUGUUGCCAUGUAUCCAUGUGUCUAAAGUGAGAUCCAUGAUUCUUUUGAGUAUGUUCAGUAAGGAUGUUUUGUAGAUAUAGUUGUUCUCUAUCCAUCCAUGACCCAGUUUGCAAAUUUGGAGUGACCUAGCAUGUCUCAAUCUUGCUCUACUUUUGCUAGAAAAUGUUCUUGGCAGAAUGUUAACAUGAUAUUCAGUUUUGCCAAGGUUGUUGUAGUUGAUCCAUACAUGCUAUGAACUUGCUCUUGCCAUUUUUAGCUUCAUGAGUAUGCCAUAUUUCUGUAGGUAUGCUUGUUUUGUCAUGCAUUUCUUUGUGAUGAGUGAAUCGAGCUCACAAAUUAGCCUUCAUAAUGCUGUUACUGCCAUGCUCUGUUUUCUGCCAAGUCUGAAACCUGUUAACGAAACUUGCUAUGUUUACAUGGGUGCCAUCAUAUCUUCUGUGCCUUUUUGGCUCAUGAUCAGUAAGGAACUUUUGUUCUAUGCAUGUAGUACUAUACUUCCAUGCCUUGUUUUGAUAUGAUAAGUUCAUGUAGCAUGUGUUUUUCUUGCUCUGAACAUUGCUACCUGAUGCUGUUUCAGCCAUGUUCAGUAUUUUCACCAAGUCUGUGAAGCUGAUAUUCUUUUGCACUUUUGCCAUGCUUGUUUGAGCCUGUUAUUGUGUGAUCUAGCCGUAGCUCAGUGUUCAUCUUUUGUCUAGCAUCUCCUGUAAAUCACUGUCAUGUGCUUUGUUGCUAUGUUGGGGUGCGGUAGUAUAGUUUCUUGAUGUAGUCUAAGUGCCAUCCUGCUGUUAAUCGCAGAUUUAUGUCAUUCUUGUUUUGCUUGCCAUUUGCAAACCGUGCAUCCGUUUCCGGUGAUCUUUAUAUCGAUUUCGUCCGAAAUCAUCUCAUCCUUCCAGUGGUGUACUUGGUUUGCCAAGUUUCUGCCUUGUUCAUCCUUUUUCUUCUGGAGCACGCAUACGCAUCGCAUAUCAUAUCUCGCAUAUCAUGCAUGUAUUGCAUCAUGUUGCUUGUGCAUUUCCCGUGAUUGAUUGUGGUUCCAUUGCUUGUGUUCUUCCUGUGGGUAGAGCCGGGAGACGAGUUCGUGAACGAGGAACCUGUUGAGUACGCUUACGAGGAUCAAGCUUUCGACAACCUUGAGAACCUUGCAGGCAAGAUGACCAUACCCUCGAAAUCACUUCAAUCUUUGCUUUGCUAGUUGUUCGUUCUAUUGCCAUGCUGCGCUACCUACCACUUGCUAUAUCAUGCCUCCCAUAUUGCCAUGUCAAACCUCUAACCAUCCUUUCCUAGCAAACCAUUUUUUGGCUAAGUUACCGCUUUUGCUCAGCCCCGUCUUAUAGCGUUGCUAGUUGCAGGUGAAGUGAAGUUGGUUCCAUGUUGGAACAUGGAUAUUUUGGCAUAUCACAAUAUCUCUUAUUUAAUUAAUGCAUCUAUAUAUUUGGUAAAGGGUGGAAGGCUCGGCUUAUGCCUGUUGUUUUGUUCCACUCUUGCCGCCCUAGUUUCCGUCAUACCGGUAUUAUGUUCCUUGAGUUUGCGUUCCUUACGCGGUUGGGUGAUUUAUGGGACCCCCUUGACAGUUCGCCUUGAAUAAAACUCCUCCAGCAAGGCCCAACCUUGGUUUUACCAUUUGCCUACCUAAGCCUUUUCCCCUUCGGUUUUCGCGAGCCCGAGGGUCAUCUUUAUUUUAACCCCCCCGGGCCAGUGCUCCUUCGAGUGUUGGUCCGAACGGAGUAGACUCCGGGGCCACCUCGGGGAAACUUGAGGCCUGGUUUUACUCGUAGGAUGUCUCAUCCGUUGUGCCCUGAGAACGAGAUAUGUGCAGCUCCUAUCGGGAUUUGUCGGCACAUCGGGCGGCUUUGCUGGUCUUGUUUUACCAUUGUCGAAAUGUCUUGUAAACCGGGAUUCCGAGACUGAUCGGGUCUUCCCAAGAGAAGGUUUAUCCUUCGUUGACCGUGAGAGCUUAUAAUGGGCUAAGUUGGGACACCCCUGCAGGGUAUUAUCUUUCGAAAGCCGUGCCCGCGGUUAUGAGGCUGAUGGGAAUUUGUUAAUGUCCGGUUGUAGAGAACUUGACACUUAACUUAUUUAAAAAUACAUCCACCAUGUGUGUAGCCGUGAUGGUCUCUUUUCGGCGGAGUCCGGGAAGUGAACACGGUUUGAGUUAUGUAUGAACGUAAGUAGUUUCAGGAUCACUUCUUGAUCAUUUCUAGCUUCGCGACCGUUGCGUUGCUUCUCUUCUCGCUCUCAUUUGCGUAUGUUAGCCACCAUAUGCUAGUGCUUGCUGCAGCUCCACCUCAUUACCUGAUCCUUUUUCCUAGAAGCUUAAAUAGUCUUGAUCUCGCGGGUGUGAGAUUGCUGAGUCCUCGUGACUCACAGAUUCUACCAAAAUAGUUGCAGGUGCCGACGAUGCCAGUGCAGAUGACGCAACCGAGCUCAAGUGGGAGUUCGACGAGGAACGUGGUCGUUACUAUGUUUCGUCUCCUGAUGAUCAGUAGUGGAGCCCAGUUGGGACGAUCGGGGAUCUAGCAUUUGGGGUUAUCUUAUUUUCAUUUGGAUUUGACCGUAGUCGGUCUAUGUGUGGAUUUUGGAUGAUGUAUGAAUUAUUUUAUGUAUUGUGUGAAGUGGCGAUUGUAAGCCAACUCUCGUUAUCCCAUUCUUGUUCAUUACAUGGGAUUGUGUGAAGAUGACCCUUCUUGCGACAAUACCUACAAUGCGGUUAUGCCUCUAAGCCGUGCCUCGACACGUGGGAGAUAUAGCCGCAUCCUGGGUGUUACAUAGGGUAUAGAACACUUCCCUAGAACAAGAAUUAAGCCACCACAUGGAUCAAUCCUGAGGGCAACUUAUGUAUCAAGAACUAAAGAUGACAAUACUUGAAUAUAUGCAUUAUGCCUAGCUAAGGGCAUGAAAUGACAACCCUUGUUGGGAGGCAACCCAAUGAAUAAAAUAUGUUUUUCUAUUUUUUCUUUCUGUUUUUGUGUUCACAUAAUUAUGAUACUGUAAUGAUUUUGUUUUUAUGUUUAAUUAGUGUUUCUGCCAAGUAAAGCCUUUAGGAUAGCUUUGGUUGGUAAUUGAUUUGAUCCUGUUGAAAAACACAAACUUUUGCGUCCAGUAGCUGAAUUAUUAAAAAAAUCACAUAAGCGACGAAAAAAAAUCUGAUUUUAUGCCCUGGGCGACACACGUGCUACAAUGGGCGGGACAAAGGGUCGCGAUCUCGCGAGGGUGAGCUAACUCCAAAAACCCGUCCUCAGUUCGGAUUGCAGGCUGCAACUCGCCUGCAUGAAGCAGGAAUCGCUAGUAAUCGCCGGUCAGCCAUACGGCGGUGAAUCCGUUCCCGGGCCUUGUACACACCGCCCGUCACACUAUAGGAGCUGGCCAUGUUUGAAGUCAUUACCCUUAACCGUAAGGAGGGGGAUGCCCCAG